rnacentral:rRNA from 1 species
UCUCCAACUUCCAACAUCUGACCUCCAGUAGGGGUAGGGGAGCGUUCCCAUCGGGCAGAAGCCUGACCGGAAGGACAGGUGGACUGGUGGGAAGUGAGAAUGCCGGUAUGAGUAACGACAAGGCAGGUGAGAAUCCUGCCCGCCGAAAGCCUAAGGUUUCCUGAGGAAGGCUCGUCCGCUCAGGGUAAGGCGGGACCUAAGCCGAGGCCCAAAGGCGUAGGCGAUGGACAGCCGGUUAAAAUUCCGGCCCCACCCAGAGCCGCUUGAGCGAAGGGGUGACGCAGGAGGGUAGGCUGAGCGCACGACUGGAAGAGUGCGUCCAAACCUGUAGGCGGGGCUCCCAGGCAAAUCCGGGAGCCUGUUAACGCCGAGGGGUGACGGGGAGCGAAAAUAUUCGCGAAGCAGCUGACCCCAUACUGCCGAGAAAAACCUCUAGCAAGGCUUAUGGGUGCCCGUACCGCAAACCGACACAGGUAGGCGGGGAGAGAAUCCCAAGGCGCGCGGGAGAACCCUCGUUAAGGAACUCGGCAAAAUGACCCCGUAACUUCGGGAGAAGGGGUGCCACACUAGGGUGAAGGCUCUAGCAGCUGGAGCUCGAAGUGGCCGCAGAGAAUUGGCCCAAGCGACUGUUUAUCAAAAACACAGGUCACUGCUAAGAAGCAAUUCGACGUAUAGUGGCCGACGCCUGCCCGGUGCUGGAAGGUUAAGGGGAAGGGUGAGAGCUCUGAACCGAAGCCCCAGUGAACGGCGGCCGUAACUAUAACGGUCCUAAGGUAGCGAAAUUCCUUGUCGGGUAAGUUCCGACCCGCACGAAUGGCGCAACGACUUGGGCGCUGUCUCAACGAGGGACCCGGUGAAAUUGCAUUACCUGUAAAGAUGCAGGUUACCCGUGGCUGGACAGAAAGACCCCGUGGAGCUUUACUGCAGCUUGACAUUGGACUUUGGUAUUACCUGUACAGGAUAGGUGGGAGGCUGCGAAGCCUGGGCGCCAGUUCAGGUGGAGCCGUUGGUGGGAUACCACUCUUGUAGUACUGGGGUUCUAACUUUUGGCCGUAAUCCGGUCUGAGGACAUUGUCAGGUGGGCAGUUUGACUGGGGCGGUCGCCUCCCAAAGGGUAACGGAGGCGCCCAAAGGUUCCCUCAGCGCGGUUGGGAAUCGCGCAGAGAGUGUAAAGGCAGAAGGGAGCUUGACUGCGAGACGUACAUGUCGAGCAGGGACGAAAGUCGGGCUUAGUGAUCCGGCGGUGCUGUGUGGAAAGGCCGUCGCUCAACGGAUAAAAGCUACCCCGGGGAUAACAGGCUUAUCUCCCCCAAGAGUCC